CUCAAGCAUGCUAAAGAUCAAGAACACUGUUCUCAAGUGUUUUACCUGCCCACGCUUUGCACCCAGGGCAUAUUUUGAGUGAAAGAGUCGAGACCUGCAUCUAGAGGCCCCUAAGAAUGGACUAAGGCUGGGCAGUCUUUGCCAUGGACAAAAUGAUCAAAACCAGCUGCUCCGUGGAGUUCUUCAUUGAAAGGAAGAGAGAGGUGGAGUUGGCAGUGAAGCGGGAUCUGCAGACACACUUCAGCAUCAAGCUGACUUAUCACUCCUCUGGAAACGGUUAACAUGCCUGGUCCAGCCACCCGUCAUGUGGAUGUGAUGUGCCUCUCAGCAGUUCUGAAGAUGACAGAAUUCACUUGCAGAUCUAAAAGAGACAAACAGAAGCUGGAAAUUGUACAUAGAGUUGAUAGGAAAACCACCUGAUUACAAAUCACUUAUCGGAAAUGCUAUGUGGAGAAGAAUUAGAAGACAUGGUCACUGAGCAGGAAGAGACAUGACUCUGCCAAGGUAUUAUUGGAAAGGUUGGAGGUGAUCUACUAUAUGGAAGCAUCUCUGAAGUCUAGACAUAAAUCAUCACAGUUCUAGAAAAAGUGGAAGAGAAAACACACCUUUGUAAAAGGACUGGAACAUAGGAAAGUGAUUGAGUUUGAAACACCAACAAAACCAUAUAGGGUGACGGACAGAAACCAGAUUAUAAGGUGUUAAGGAGGGAGGAAGAAAAGACAAAUCAAGAAAACCCCAGGCCCCACCAGCAGAGCAGCAGAGCAGCAGAGUGGCAGAGUGGCAGAGAAGGAGAGAAGCAGCAGCCAGAUGUUGGAGAGAAGCAGCUUGACUUCAGAGGGACAACUUGGUAGCGGGACCUCGGAGAAGAGUUUGGCCAGGGAUGCCCAAACUCCAGGGGAAGACCACCUUCCCACUCCAUCCCCUUUCCAGCUCCCCAUUCCAUUGAGAGCCACU
rnacentral:lncRNA from 1 species